UACGUAGGGUGCGAGCGUUGUCCGGAUUUAUUGGGCGUAAAGAGCUCGUAGGCGGCUUGUUGCGUCGACUGUGAAAACCCGCGGCUCAACCGCGUGGCUUGCAUUCGAUACGGGCAGGCUAGAGUUCGGUAGGGGAGACUGGAAUUCCUGGUGUAGCGGUGAAAUGCGCAGAUAUCAGGAGGAACACCGGUGGCGAAGGCGGGUCUCUGGGCCGAUACUGACGCUGAGGAGCGAAAGCGUGGGGAGCGAACAGG
rnacentral:rRNA from 1 species